rnacentral:rRNA from 1 species
UACAGAGGUCUCAAGCGUUGUCCGGAUUUAUUGGGCGUAAAGCGCACGUAGGCGGGUCGUUAAGUCAGGGGUGAAAUCCCGGAGCUCAACUCCGGAACUGCCUUUGAUACUGGCGACCUUGAGGCUGGAAGAGGUUAGUGGAAUUCCCAGUGUAGAGGUGAAAUUCGUAGAUAUUGGGAAGAACACCAGUGGCGAAGGCGGCUAACUGGUCCAGAUCUGACGCUGAGGUGCGAAAGCGUGGGGAGCAAACAGG